AGUUAUUUCCAUCAAUUUCCCUAUCUUAAGAGUUCCAUUUGCAUCUGGAUCUGGUUAGUUUAAUGGCUAUGUUAUCAUUAAAAGCAAUCUAGGACCAAACAAAUGACUUAAAGGGAUUUGGACUCCAUUCAUUCAAACAUGCAAGACUAUGAACUAAAAGUCCUUAUUUACAAGGCAAGAAAAAUAACUUAAUGUGGACUUAACCCAUCCA
rnacentral:lncRNA from 1 species